ensembl:lncRNA
UCAGGGUGAUGGUGGCCUCAUAGAAUGAGUUUAGGAGUGUUCCUUCCUCUGAAACUUUUUGGAAUAGUUUCAGAAAGAUAGGUGUUAGCUCUUCUCUAAAUGUUUGAUGGAACUAGCCUGUGAAGCCAUUUGGUCCUGGACUUUUGUUUGUUGGAAGUUUUUUAAUCACAGUUUCAAUUUCAGUACUUGUGAUUGGUCCAUUCAUCUUUUCUAUUUCAUCUUGGUUAAGUCUUAGAAGAUUGUACUUUUUUAAGAAUUUGUCCAUUUCUUCUAGGUUUUCCAUUUUAUUGGCAUAUAGUUGCAUGUAGUAGUCUCUUAUGAUCCUUUGUAUUUCUAUGAUGUCCAUUGUAACUUCUCUUUCUUCAUUUCUAAUUUUACUGAUGAGUCCUCUCUCUUUUUUUCUUGAUAAGUCUGGCUAAGGGUUUAUCAAUUUUGUUGAUCUUUUCAAAGAACCAGCUUUUAGUUUCAUUGAUCUUUUCUUUGGUUUUCUUCAUUUCUAUUUCAUUUAUUUCUGCUCUGAUUUUUAUGAUUUCUUUCCUUCUGCUAGCUUUAGGUCUUGUCCUUCUCUCUCUAGCUGCUUUAGAUGUAAAGUUAGCUUGUUUAUUUAAGCUUUAUCUUGCUUCCUGAGGUGGGCUUGUAUUGCUACAAACUUCCCUCUUAGAACUGCUUUUGCUGCAUCCCAUAGGUUUUGGAGUGUUGUAUCUUUGUUGUCAUUUGCUUCUAGGUAUUUUUUAAUUUCCUCUUUGAUUUCUUCAGUGAUCCAUUGGUUGUUUAGUAGCAUGUUGUUUAGUCUCCACAUGUUUGUGUUUUUGGCAAUUUUGUUCUUGUGACUGAUUUCCAGUCACAUAACAUUGUGGUUGGAAAAGAUUCUUGAUAUGAUUUCAAUUUUCUUAAAGUUACUGAGACUUGAUUUGUGACCCAGAAUGUGAUCAAUCCUAGAGAAUGUUCCAUGUGCACUUGAGAAGAAUGUGUAUUCUGCUGCUUUUGGAUAUGUACUAUAAAUAUCUAUUAAGUCCAUCUGGUCUCAAGCUUCAUUUAGGGGCUGUUUCCUUGUUAAUUUUGUGUCUGGAUGAUCUCUCCAUUGCUGUAAAUGGGGUGUUAAAGUACCACACUAUUAUUGUGUUAUUAUCAAUUUCUCCUUUUAAGGUUUUUAGCAGUUACCUUAUAUAUUGAGGUAAUCCUAAUUUGGGUGCAUACAUAUUUACAAUUGUUAUAUCUUCUUCUUGAUUGAUCCUUUGAUCAUUAUGUAAUGCCCUUCUUUGUCUCUUAUAAUAUUAUUUAUUUUAAGGUCUAUUUUGUCUGAUAUGAGUAUUGCUAUUCCAGCUUUCUUUUGAUUCCUGUUUGCAUGGAACAUUUUCUUACAUUCUCUCACUUUUGAUUUGUAUGUGUCCCUAGAAGUGAAGUGGGUCUCUUGAAGACAGCGUAUAUAUGGAUUUUGUUUUUUAAUCCAUUCAGCCAUUCUAUAUCUUUUGGUUGGGGCAUUUAGUCCAUUUACAUUUAAGGUAGUUAUUGAUAUGUAUGUUCUUACUGUCAUUUUAUUAACUGUUUUGGAUUUGUUUUUGUUGCUCUUUUUUUCUUCCCUCCUUCUCUUGUUCUCUCCUCUUGUGGUUUGAUGACUAUCUUUAGUAUUGCAUUUGAGUUGAUUUUUCUUACUUGUGUGUAUCAAUUAUAGAUUUUUGAUUUGUAGUUAUCCUGAAGUUUUGAUAUAGGAGUCUAUAUGUAUACAAAAUUGUUUUAAGUUGUUGGUGUCUUAAUUGCAGGUGCAUCUCCAUUGUCCUGCAUUUAUACCUUCCUCUUCUCACAAUUUCUGAUUUGCGUAGCAUAUUUGUGUGUGGAUGAUUUCCUACCUUUACUGUAUAUAUGCCUUUACUGGUGAGCCUUAUCAUUUGUGGUAUUUUUGUCUCUAGUUGUAGCCUUUUCUGCCUAAAGAAGUUCCUUUAGUAUUUGUUGUAAAGCUGGUUUAGUGUUGCUGAAUUCUCUUAGCUUUUGCUUGUCUUUAAAGCUUUUGAUUUCUCCUUCAAAU